AGUAUGUUACAGGCCUUCAUACUCACUCAUCCUCACUCACUGACUCACCCAGAGCAACUUCCAGUCCUGCGGGCUCUGCUCAUGGGGGAACACAUGGGAAAUGGAGGGAAUCCUGGAAGACAAAGAAAAUAUUGACACAGAACCGUCCUGAAAAUACGAAAGUAUGACAGGUCUUGUGGGGGGUGAGUAUGAAUCACAUUUGUCAUGAAAAGUAUAUAGCAAGGAGCUUUAAGAAAACAGGGAAAUCCCAGACUCUGGGCAGUGGGACUUGGCACAAGCUCAGAGCACCUUUUAAAUUAAAAUUAUAAUACUGGAGGAGUGGGCUGUCUGCUGGAAUCGAGGAGAAAGCAUUUUAUUCCCAGAAUUGGUUUGUUGGCCUGGAUGACACUUGGCAUCCUGGAGGACCAGGGAAAUACUAAAGUGCCCCUGCCCGCAGGCAGGGUGUCACUGGGCUCCGUGAAAGCCGAUAAAGAGAAUGGGUGGAGUCAAGGCUGCCCAAAGCUCUGGUGAGACCUGGGUGAGGAGCAAACGGCCAGUCCCACCAGGCUUCGAGGCUUCGGGAAACUCAGCAAAAGCAGCCGUUUGGCUCAGUGUUGUGUAAACAGGGAGAUACCCGCAGCGAGUCCCAGACGGGCACAGAGAGGAGGGAGGCUGUGGGCAGUUUUCAGCUGCCUUGUUCACACCCCUCCACCCUGCACCCCUGAGAGCACGCAAGGGGUGUCACGCUCACAAUCACAUACUCUGUGUGGUUACAUCAGCAUUCUGCACUCCACAUCUUUCUCUGACCUUUUUUUGUGUCUGCUGACCCAUGGGCACCAGCAAGGUGGUACUCCUCGCAGCUGACACCUCCUAAUGCAGAAAACAGCAGGCACAUCCCUGAAGUCCAUUUCUGCCCUGUGGUAGGUCUGGCGGCUCCCUCCCUGCCUCUCAUGUCACACAGAGGCCUGCUCAGUGCUCAGGGACACCCGACACAAACUCCGUGUGGCCUGGGACAGCAACUUCACCCACCGCAGGGCUGAGGAGCAGCCACACUGCGACAGGUAUGGCAGCUCACACACCUGUUCGCUGUCCUGGUCAUGCGUCUCCUAAGGAGGUUGCAGGACUGAUGGAAAAGGCCUCCCUCCCUUCUGUCUCCAUGGCAAUAGUAAGCUUGUAGGCCGUGCCUGUCUUCCUCUGUCCUCCUCAAGCCAAGCAAGGACAGCCCUCAGCAGAAUAUCGAUUACCCUCUGGAAGUCACUCACUGUGACCUCAAGUGCUCCGGCUUUACUCAUUCUGUCUGCACCAACCACCCCCUUUUUGUUGUUUCACUUUGAGGCCAUUUUGCAAAGUCUGAGAGAAAAGUAGUUACCUAUCAUUUGUAAAAAAAUAUUCCCUUGGGAUCUGAUAACUGAUACCAAUGACAUUUUAUUAAGACGUGUUUUCACCCAUAUCAUUUGAUACUCAAAUCAACUCUAUGCAGUAGGUGAGUCAAGUGUUAUCAUUCAAAGUUAUCUUUAUUGUCAUGUUAUGGUUGAGAAAUUUAAAGCUGGAAGAGAAUUUUUGGCCUUCCAGAAUUUUCUGAAGUUCCCAGAGCUGGUACAUGAUGGAUCUGGGACUCGGCCCAAACCUUCAACUCUGCAAAAAUACUGUGAUUUUUUCCACUAGACUGUUGUUUAGAUCAGUGUUCUCCAGAAAAACAGAACCAAUAGGACACACACACAUACACAUAUGCAUAUAUCUAUACAAAUACAUAUGUGUGCAUACAUAUAUGUGUGUAAACAUAAAUAACAUAUUAUUUAAGAAAGUGCAUAACUUUAUAUGUAUACAUAAAUGUUUACCUAUUGCUUGUUAUAUAAAGAAUGCAUAUAAAUAAGGAAUUAUUAUUAUCUUGUAGAAUUGGCUAUGUGAUUGUAGGGGUUGGCAUGUUCAAAGUGUGUUGGGCAGACAUCAGGCUGGGAACUCAGGUAAAAGUUAAUGCUGCAGUUUAGAGGCAGAAUUUCUCUUCUCUCAGGAUCUUGAACUGAUUGAAUGAGGCUGCCCCACAUUGCCAAGGUUAAUCUCUAUUAACUGCCACCUGAUUGUAGAAGUGAUGCACAUUUGCAAAAUACCUUCUCAGCAACACCUAGAUUUCUGUUUAACUGGGUUACUGAAGCCUAGCCAUGUUGGCACACAACACUAACCAUCACAGCUGUAUCAUAGAAAUCCUCCUAGGAUAAGUCCCAGUUUUCUUAGUGGGCAGACUUAAGCACCAGCACAGAGGAACAAAAAUGAAACUGAAGAUGUAUGCAGUGGCCCUUGUUCCACAGACAAUGUGUCCCCUUGCAGGCAGGGUCUGCAUCGGGUUCAGCUUUGGACCCCAGAGCAACACCUGACCAUGAUAGGCCAUCCAUGAGUAUGUGUGGAAGGAAUACAUGUAAAACCUCCUUGUUAUCUCAGAGAUGCUGAUCUUGGAAUUAAUCUUAUACAACUAAUGGCUUCUAGGUCUUUCUAGUCAGGGGAGGUGUCCUCUGAAGCCUGGCUGCCAAGGAUCGAACCACCUACCAGCUGAGCCACCUUAGGCAGGUCACUAAUCUCACUCUGACCCAUUUUCCUCACUUGGAAGAUGGGGGUGAUCAUUGUAACACUUCAAAUUAAAUGAGCUAAUUCAGGCGAAUGGCUCAACUCAGCGCCUGGCACAUGGCAACACCCAAUCAACAUUAGCUCUGAUUUGAAUUAUUAUUUACACAGCUGUCCUAAAAUCUUUUGCUUUGAGCCCUGCAUUCUUCACUCGUAGGGUAUCAGGGUUCCACAAAUUCUUCUCUCCCAAACACUUCCCACUUUCCUACAGCUAAUUGUGCACCCCAGAAGCACGAUGGUUAAGUAAUGGAUAGAAUAUUACCUUACGGAAGAGAACCCUUCCAAAUUAAAAUAAUCAAGAAUAGUCUAGUAUAUUAGUUUGCUAGGGCUGCCAUAGCAAAAUACCACACAUGGGGUGGUUUAAGUGGUUCAGUAUUCUCUCAUAGUUCAGUAGGCUAGACGUCCAAGAUCGAGGUGUGACAGGGUUGGUUUCUUCUGAGGGCUGUAAGGAGAACCCGCUCCAUGUCUCUCUCCUGCUUCAAUAGCUGAGCCCCGGGCAUUCCUUGGCUUGUAGAUGGCUAUCUUCUUCCUGUGCUUCAGAUUGUCAUUGUCUUUUUUCUUUUUUUAAAAUAUAUUUUUAUUUAUUUUUAGAGAAAAAGGGAGGGAGAGGGAGGGAGAAACAUUGAUGCGAGAGUAAAACAUUGAUUGGCUGCCUCCUGUCCUGACGGGGAAUCAAACUGAGUAAGCAAAUAGAAAGAUAGAAGCUGAGAGAGGCAGCUGAGGCUUGGAAGAAGUAAGUGUGAGAUGUGGUAAACUGAAAAUAGACAGUGGAGGUGGCAGGCCCUUACAUGAGCAGGAAAGAUUCAGAGCUCUCUAAGAUGUGGUCUAACCAGUGAAUAACAUCUCGAUGAAGCAGCUUUAUAACUUAAAGAUACUUUUUUUUUUAAAGAAAAAUGAGAGGGGGCAACUUAUUGAGAUCUACUCCAGUCUAGGGGUAUAAAUAUCCCAAAUCCUAAUUAAGAGGGGCAUUCGGUUCGAUCUCAGACAGCUGACCUGCCCACUCAGGGCACUCAGUUUGGUUUCAUCCAGCUGAAUUGCCCACUCAGGUCCUCUUUGAGUGCAUUGCUUUCCUACAAAUAAAUCCUUGCCUGCUUUUGCUGUUAUUUGUUGUCUCAUUUGAAUUUAUCCCUACAAGCAAGAUAAGAACUCGGGGCUCAGAGUAUUGUCUCUGGCCAGAGACCCUCUUGUCCACUGCUGACAGAACCAGCAACCUCUCGGUGCCCGGGACUACACCCAACCAACUGAGCCACACCGGUCAGGGCUCAACUUACUUUUAAUUAAGUCAAGUAUUAAGAGAUUUAUAAAGUGUAAAACAAUGAUACUUUUCUCACUAUUUUUUAAAAAUGUCAUUUAUAUUAACCUGCAAUUGGUUUAUUAUUAUUAUUUUUUUAAAUUAAAUCUUUAUUGUUCAGAUUAU